UCUAUCCGUGGACCAUUCUUCCUCCUCUUUUCAUUAUUUUUUGUCUAAUUUAAUGUUUUCUUCGGAUUCUUUCAUAAUUUAAUUCACCCAUUUCAUUCCCUGCAUUUUUUUCUCCUUUUUUAUCUCAGUGUUUAUUAAUAUCGAACUAAAACACUUUAUUUUUUUCCUCUAAGGUGGUGAUGCUAGUUAGCAGAAAUGAUCCCUUGUAGUGGUUUGUGCUACAUUAGGUCUAAGGAGCGUCUGACUGAACUCCUUGUUUUUUUUAUUAGCAUUCUGGGACGAGGGUGUUUAGGAACUCUACCAAAAUCAGAACCAGCUUUCUUUGUCAGCCUGUCUCUGGCUUUUCUCCUGCUUCUCCAGCAGAUGACGUCAGAACAGAUUAUAAUCUCUUUAGCGCUUUCCUGCUGCCUCUCCAAUGGAGCCUGUUGUCCAGGUGAACACUGAUCUCCACCUCCUGAUGGAAACGAUGUUUGAAAUUUAUCAUCAUCCCUAUUGAUGCUUCACAUUCAAGAUGAGAUGGAUAUUAGAGCUUUAUUUCGGUGCACAGGGUGGAACAACUGUGCAUGAGAUGCAAAAAGAAAGGCAGCGAAGAUAGCGUCCCAUAUCCUGCUGCUGAUUCUGCAGGUCAAGCUUAGAGUCUGAAGACCUG